UUUGACCUCAAAUCAGGUAGGACUACCCGCUGAACUUAAGCAUAUCAAUAAGCGGAGGAAAAGAAACUAACAAGGAUUCCCCUAGUAACUGCGAUG
rnacentral:rRNA from 1 species